UCGAGAAUCUUCCACAAUGGGCGAAAGCCUGAUGGAGCGACGCCGCGUGAUUGAUGAAGUCCCUUUGGGACGUAAAGAUCUUUUAUGAGGGAAGAAGUUUAUUGACGGUACCCCAUGAAUAAGAGGCUCCUAAUCUCGUGCCAGCAGGAGCGGUAAUACGAGAGCCUCGGGCGUUAUCCGGAAUUAUUGGGCGUAAAGGGUGCGUAGGUUGUUCUGUUAGUCUUUUGUUAAAGACCCGGGCUUAACUUGGGGAUCGCGAAAGAAACGGCAGAACUUGAAAGUGCGAGAGGCGUACGGAACUCAUGGUGUAGGGGUGAAAUCCGUUGAUAUCAUGGGGAACACCAAAAGCGAAGGCAGUACGCUGGCGCAUAUUUGACACUGAAGCACGAAAGCGUGGGUAGCGAAUGGG
rnacentral:rRNA from 1 species